rnacentral:rRNA from 1 species
GUCUACAGCCAUGCUACCCUGAACAAGCCAGAUCCUGUGUGAUCUCAGAAGCUAAGCAGGGUCAGGCCUGGUUAGUACUUGGAUGGGAGACUACCUAGGAAGACCAGGUGCUGUAGGAG